GUCUGGUCUGCAGCAGGAGUUGGGUAUUAAUUCAAAGCAGUCUGCCAAUUUGUUAUUAGAAAGUUACGGUUGUAUGAUUUUUUUUUUUUUAACUGAGUAGAUUCCGAAUAUACAGCUAGAUUACAAUGUCCAUGCAAAUUACCUUACUAUUUUCAUAUAUCACUAUGAGACCUGCCAAAUGAAUACUGUUCCCCUAAAUUGUGGUAUUUCCCUUCCGCAAAUGAGUUUACCAUUUUUGCAGCAGCAAUUGCAGGUUGCAUGAGAAUGGAAAGCCGGACACAAGUAGAAUAACCUAAGGACGGAAUUCAGCAAGGAUUGUCAGAUACAUUCAUCCAAAGUAAUUGCAAGACAUGAACUAAUCUCUCAUCUCUCCUUGGUGAAUACCUAAGGAACUGGCAAGUUACUGUCUAGUUGUCAUCCCCCACCAGAGGGAGUACGUUGUGGAAUUUGCACCUCAACUCAGCUUGCUUUCGUGGUGAGGACAGCAGAGUGCAGUAUACAAGGCUACUGCGAGAGGUGGUACUGCGUUUAGAAAGAAGGCUAAACUGUAUGGAAGCUCAUGUAAGUAAUGGGUUCAUUUCAACUUGAAAAUUAGUUUUGCUUUUUUCCAGCCUUUUUUUCCAGGUUAAAGCCACUAAAUGAAAGCUAGGUGUAUUCAGGAGGCAGUUAUUCUCAGAAGCGC
rnacentral:lncRNA from 1 species